AGAGUUUGAUCCUGGCUCAGAUUGAACGCUGGCGGCAUGGCUAAAACAUGCAAGUCGAACGCGAACGGGGCUUCGGCCCUUAUUAGAGUGGCGAAAGGGUGAGGAAUACGUUUCUAACGUGCCCCGAGGUCAGGGACAGCAUCGGGAAACCGAUGGUAAUACCUGAUGAUCCCGGCGGAUCGCAUGUUCUGCCGGGCAAAGGCUUGCUGCCUUGGGAUCGGGAAACGUCCUAUCAGUUUGUUGGUGAGGUAACGGCUCACCAAGGCUAUGACGGGUAGCGGGUGUGAGAGCACGACCCGCCACAUCGGGACUGAGACACUGCCCGGACUCCUACGGGAGGCUGCAGUAACGAAUAUUCCGCAAUGCGCGCAAGCGUGACGGAGCAAUGCCGCGUGCAGGAUGAAGCCCCUAGGGGUGUAAACUGCUGUCAGGGGCUAGGAAUUUUGACCAUCCCCAAAGGAAGAGCCGGCUAACUCUGUGCCAGCAGCCGCGGUAAUACAGAGGGCUCAAGCGUUAAUCGGAAUCACUGGGCUUAAAGGGUGCGCAGGCGGACAGGUAAGUGUCUUGUGAAAUCCCACGGCUCAACCGUGGAAUUGCUCGGCAGACUGCCUGUCUUGAGCUCGGCAGGGGCCGUCGGAACUCUAGGUGGAGCGGUGAAAUGCGUAGAUAUCUAGAGGAACGCCAAAGGUGAAGACAGACGGCUGGGCCGACGCUGACGCUCAGGCACGAAAGCGUGGGUAGCGAACGGGAUUAGAUACCCCGGUAGUCCACGCCCUAAACGAUGUGCACUAGGUCGUGGUGGGUCUGACCCCUUCUCGGCCGAAGCGAAAGUGUUAAGUGCACCGCCUGGGGAGUACGGUCGCAAGGCUAAAACUCAAAGGAAUUGACGGGGGCUCACACAAGCGGUGGAGCAUGUGGCUUAAUUCGAAGCAACGCGAAGAACCUUAUCCUGGGUUUGACAUGUAUGGAUUAACUCCCUGAAAGGGGAGCCACGCCCUUUGGGUGGAACAUACACAGGUGCUGCAUGGCUGUCGUCAGCUCGUGCUGUGAAGUGUCGGGUUAAGUCCCUUAACGAGCGAAACCCCUGCCGUUAGUUGCUAACAGGUAAUGCUGAGGACUCUAGCGGGACUGCCGGUGUCAAACCGGAGGAAGGUGGGGACGACGUCAAGUCCUCAUGGCCUUUAUGCCCUGGGCUGCACACGUGCUACAAUGCCGCGGACAAAGCGAAGCAAUACCGCAAGGUGGAGCAAAUCGCAUAAACCGUGGCCCAGUUCGGAUUGUGGUCUGCAACUCGACCACAUGAAGCUGGAAUCGCUAGUAAU
rnacentral:rRNA from 1 species